GGAGAUACAUUUCAGCCAUGCCUGUGAAUGGUGGGAAUUUAAAGCUAGAGGGAAACGCAUUUGGAUUCUUAAGCGUCGAUGCGUGUGUUAUCCUAGAGACUAAAAUGUGAAUACAUGACAGCUUAUUGUCAUAAUGUCAAAACUUUAACUACUUUAUGGAAAUUACAACCCCACUGUGGCACCAAUCCCUUGAAAAAAUACCAAGAAUCCGGAUAUGGUAGAUGAGCACCAUUGCACGCAAGCAGGCAAACAGAAAAAGAACACAGUACUUGGAAAUCAACUCUCCCAAUAAUAAAAGAAAAAAGGUUAAGAUUCAAGCUUUCAUACGGAAAUGUUUCGGUACUUCACACGAUUGGUUUUAUUGUGAAGAUUCCUUGAACUCUACUGCAUAGCUGUGCAUAUUCCUACCAACAUUAUGUUUUCAUGUUGUUUUUGUUCAGAGAAUCACAACAAACAUGCCUAGAAGGAUAGACGAGUGAACAUGUGGUAGGACAUUAUUGUCAGACGAUAAUUCCAUGAGUUAUAUGUAGAACAAGUUCCUGUUCAAGUGUAAUCCACAUUCCGAUCUUCUCUGUUGCCCCUUUUCACAAAAAUAAAAAAAUGAUUAUUGCUUGC